rnacentral:lncRNA from 1 species
UAAGAUCUUCCUAAGGGCGUGUUUGAUUCGCUUUUUUUUCACCAUAGAAUUAGAAUCGAAAUGGGUGAAUCCGUUUGUGAGUGUUUGGUAUACGGAAAUCCCAUUCCGAUUUCGAUUCUUGAGCGGAAUGGGAAUUCCCCAAUCACCCUUUUUUUCAAUCCGGCCUAAGAAGCCGGAUUAAAAGUUUAAUCAGGACAAAAUAGAUAUUUAUUUGGAUUAAAUUUAUUUUUUCAACUUUUUAAAUUAAAAUAUGAGUUUAAAUUUAGAAAUUAAAUUUUUUAUUUUUUAUUUUAAUUUGAACUUGAAUUAAAAAUUAAAAUUUAAUCAAGUAUUUCGAAUCUAACUUAUGAAUUUGAAUUUAUAUAAAGUUUUAUUCAAAUUUUAUUUAAAACUUAAAUAAAUUCAUGGAUUCAAAUUAAAAUUUAAAUUAUAAUUUUAAGUUUGAAUUUGAAUAAAUCGAAAUUUAGUUUUAUAUUUUGAAUUAUCCACUCAACUUCAAAGUUUAAUUUUUUUAAAAAAAAAUAGAUUUAAAAUUUUGACAUCAUUUCAAAAUUUUGAUGUAAAAUUUUAAUUUUUAAAUUUUAAUUUGAAUUUAAAUUAAUAUAUUUUAAAGAUAAAGUUAAUAUAUUAAUCUGAUUACGUUUUUUAUAUUUAACUGGACCAAACACCGACAAUGAGAAUAAUUUAUUCUGAUUCCGAUUCAGGUGAUGAACCAAACAGAAUUAAGUAAUGAGUCAUUCUGAUUUCGAUUCCAGCUUAUUUCGAUUCCGAUUCUGAUUCCGAUUCCGACUUCGAAUCAAACACGCCCUAAAAGUUAAUUGCCAAUAUAUUCACAAUAAAUUCACCAAAAAAUAAUAAUUUAAUCAAAAUUGCUAUAAAUUGCUCGCCAUCUCAAAUUUUGACGAAAUUAUUAAAUCCCUCAGUUUCAA